rnacentral:rRNA from 1 species
GAUGAACGCUGGCGGCGUGCCUAAUACAUGCAAGUCGAGCGAACAGACGAGGAGCUUGCUCCUCUGACGUUAGCGGCGGACGGGUGAGUAACACGUGGAUAACCUACCUAUAAGACUGGGAUAACUUCGGGAAACCGGAGCUAAUACCGGAUAAUAUAUUGAACCGCAUGGUUCAAUAGUGAAAGACGGUUUUGCUGUCACUUAUAGAUGGAUCCGCGCCGCAUUAGCUAGUUGGUAAGGUAACGGCUUACCAAGGCAACGAUGCGUAGCCGACCUGAGAGGGUGAUCGGCCACACUGGAACUGAGACACGAUCCAGACUCCUACGGGAGGCAGCAGUAGGGAAUCUUCCGCAAUGGGCGAAAGCUUGACGGAGCAACGCCGCGUGAGUGAUGAAGGUCUUCGGAUCGUAAAACUCUGUUAUUAGGGAAGAACAAAUGUGUAAGUAACUAUGCACGUCUUGACGGUACCUAAUCAGAAAGCCACGGCUAACUACGU